AUACUAACUAUUAUCAAGUUGAGAAACACUGUAUUACCAUAACGUUCAGAUAAGCUGAAGCAAUUAUUACACUGAAUCUCCACUGAACCACCUCCCAUUAGAGUACUGUAAAUCUCCACAUCACCAUCAGAGGACAAGGUUCAUAAAAGCACAAUACUGACGGCAGAUACACCAGUGAGGAGCACGGAAUCAAAGAGAUCACAAGCACAAGAAAAAUGUACAAUCAAGGACCAACAAUCGGAAGAAUAAACUUAUCAUUCAAUGACCCAGAAGAGCAGGAUCCAUCACAGAAGCCCAGGAAGGGUCAGCCUGCGCCACCACCAUACCAGGAACAUCCUAAUGCUGGAUACCAUGGCCCAGGGCCCUAUCCCAACCCUUCUGGAUAUCCCAGCCAACCGUACGGAGUUCCAGGUGGCCCUCAGGGCCCGUAUGCCCCUCAGGGCCCUUAUGCUCCUCAGGGUCCGUAUGCUCCUCAAGGUCCGUAUGCUCCUCAAGGUCCGUAUGCUCCUCAAGGUCCGUAUGCUCCUCAGGGCCCGUAUGCCCAACAACAGCCUUAUCCAGGCAUGUCUGCAUAUCCACAAAGACCGCAUGCAGAUCACACUGGGGUCACCGUUCAGCCCACUGUGUUUAUGACCUCCACGCCAGCAGUCACUUCAGUGCCGGAUUACUUGUGCUACUCGAUCUUUACCUUGCUGUUCUGCUGUUGCCCUCUGGGACUUGCUGCUAUCAUCUGCUCGUGCUCUACUCGAGAUGCUAACAUGGUUGGACAGCAAGACUUAGCGAUCAAGUCCUCCAGAUCGGCAGUGAUCCUGAAUACUGUCGCUUUCUUUAUCGGCCUCACAGCCUACAUAAUAACCAUCAUCCUUGUACUGACAACAUGACCAAAUUAAGACUAUCAAGGGCCUUUGGGCUUUACCUCAUGAGGGGUCCUUCAUCCACCAGAACUAUUACCUACAUUCACUCAAUCUUCUUAAUCACAAAGCGCAAGUUAUCAGCCUUUUAUUUUGCAGGAAUAAAUAGCACAAACAAAACAUCUGAACUGAAAUCUGGCGUCGAAAUCAGGCACAUAUAAAUGUAAAAAAAACACUCAGUCCAGCUGAGGGGGCGUGUUCCGGCGGGAAAGAGAUGUAAUUAUAAGUAUUUAUAAGUAAUUAUAAGUAAAUGUUAUGUUUUCAAUGAACAGAUGUUGUAUUCUGCUUCAAAUGCAGCUACUCAUGAUUUUGCAGAAGAAAUUAGAAAUUACAAGUAUUUUCCAUUUUUUUUGAGGAAAUAAUCCAAUGUAUGUUUCUGUAUGAUUCAUAACCAAAAAGAAAAGUUCUGUUUCUUCAUGAAAUACAUUAAGUGUUCUGCUCAUCUACAGUAGUCAACAUUUGAAGUAGAUCAAAAAAGAUAA